rnacentral:rRNA from 1 species
ACGCUCGACACCUACGGGAAGGCAGCAGUGGGGAAUAUUGCACAAUGGGGGAAACCCUGAUGCAGCGAUGCCGCGUGAAGGAAGAAGUAUCUCGGUAUGUAAACUUCUAUCAGCAGGGAANAAAAUGACGGUACCUGACUAAGAAGCCCCGGCUAACUACGUGACCAACAGCCGCGGUAAUCUGAGCGGNUGGCAAGGC